GUGAAAAAAACAAAAAGAAGCCUUCAAUUUGAUUUGAUUUAUUCAUAUUAACACAGGAAAAGCAUAGGGGGAUGUUUUGGUGCUGAUUGUAGAGGCUCUAUGAACAAUAUAUUAGGGGAUUUUAGGCUGAAUCUUUAAUGUGUAAUUGUUGCAGGGUUGGUUAGGUUAGCAAAUGGUUUGGUGCUGAUUGUAGAGGCUCUAUGAACAAUAUAUUAGGGGAUUUUAGGCUGAAUCUUUAAUGUGUAAUUGUUGCAGGGUUGGUUAGGUUAGCAAAUGUGGUUGCUUGGGGAUUAUUAGUGAGUGUUUUAAGGCUAGUUUGAUGGAAAUUGUAGAAGGUUUAGGGUACAUUUUUAGGAGUCCACAAAGGAGGGAAAACCUAAACUUCACACUUAGGGUUCUUAGAAGUCACACCUAAGAGGAGAUUGC
rnacentral:lncRNA from 1 species